rnacentral:rRNA from 1 species
AUUGAACGCUGGCGGCAGGCCUAACACAUGCAAGUCGAGCGGAUGAAGGUAGCUUGCUACCUGAUUCAGCGGCGGACGGGUGAGUAAUGCCUAGGAAUCUGCCUGGUAGUGGGGGACAACGUUUCGAAAGGAACGCUAAUACCGCAUACGUCCUACGGGAGAAAGUGGGGGAUCUUCGGACCUCACGCUAUCAGAUGAGCCUAGGUACGAUUAACUAGUUGGUGAGGUAAAGGCUCACCAAGGCGACGAUCGUUAACUGGUCUGAGAGGAUGAUCAGUCACACUGGAACUGAGACACGGUCCAGACUCCUACGGGAGGCAGCAGUGGGGAAUAUUGGACAAUGGGCGAAAGCCUGAUCCAGCCAUGCCGCGUGUGUGAAGAAGGUCUUCGGAUUGUAAAGCACUUUAAGUUGGGAGGAAGGGCAGUAAGUUAAUACCUUGCUGUUUUGACGUUACCGACAGAAUAAGCACCGGCUAACUUCGUGCCAGCCGCCGCGUAAAAC